UAUUCAAUUAUUAUAAAUUAGUAUAAAUUUAUUAAUUUUAGACAAUAUAAUUUUCAACAUACAACUAUUAUAAAAUUUUAUAAUUUAGAAUAUAGGUACUAAAUUAGGAUAUAUAUUUUUUCUUUGUUUGUCUUUAAAAAUAUUGAGUUCAAAUUUUAAUAAUAAUCAUAUGAUGAAAAUUUAAAAAAUAUUUUCAAAUUUAUAUUUUUUGUUCAAAAUAUAGGAUCAAGU
rnacentral:lncRNA from 1 species